GUACUGUACGAAAGGACAAAAGGUUAAGACUCCCCUUGGUAAGGAUGAAAGUGGUCCUAAAGGCUUUACAACACACAAAUAGUUAAGACAUUGCCAUCUACUUAAUGGCAUAUGAUAAUUUUUUUUU